GCCUGGCUGGCUCAGAUGGAGGAGCCUGAGACUCUUGAUCUCAGGGUUGUGGGUUCGAGCCCCAAGGUGGGUG
rnacentral:tRNA from 1 species